rnacentral:rRNA from 1 species
UACGAAGGGGGCUAGCGUUGCUCGGAAUCACUGGGCGUAAAGGGUGCGUAGGCGGUUCUUUAAGUCAGGGGCGAAAUCCUGGAGCUCAACUCCAGAACUGCCUUUGAUACUGAAGAUCUUGAGUUCGGGAGAGGUGAGUGGAACUGCGAGUGUAGAGGUGAAAUUCGUAGAUAUUCGCAAGAACACCAGUGGCGAAGGCGGCUCACUGGCCCGAUACUGACGCUGAUGCACGAAAGCGUGGGGAGCAAACAGG